GAUGAACGCUGGCGGCGUGCCUAAUACAUGCAAGUCGAGCGAACGGACGAGAAGCUUGCUUUUCUGAUGUUAGCGGCGGACGGGUGAGUAACACGUGGAUAACCUACCUAUAAGACUGGGAUAACUUCGGGAAACCGGAGCUAAUACCGGAUAAUAUUUUGAACCGCAUGGUUCAAAAGUGAAAGACGGUCUUGCUGUUACUUAUAGAUGGAUCCGCGCUGCAUUAGCUAGUUGGUAAGGUAACGGCUUACCAAGGCAACGAUGCAUAGCCGGCCUGAGAGGGUGAUCGGCCACAAUGGAACUGAGACACGGUCCAGACUCCUACGGGAGGCAGCAGUAGGGAAUCUUCCGCAAUGGGCGAAAGCCUGACGGAGCAACGCCGCGUGAGUGAUGAAGGUCUUCGGAUCGUAAAACUCUGUUAUUAGGGAAGAACAUAUGUGUAAGUAACUGUGCACAUCUUGACGGUACCUAAUCAGAAAGCCACGGCUAACUACGUG
rnacentral:rRNA from 1 species